GCUUUUGAGGCUAGGGUCAGAAGUUUUAGGGUUUUGGGUAUAAUUUGGGUGAAGAUUUUGUAUGAUUUCGAGUUUUUAUGGAAAAGAUAUGAAUGUUCAAAGAUAAGGUGUCAAUUUCGUACCUACUGUCACUUCUUUUGGGCAUCACAUACGAAUACGGAGAGCAACGGAAGAUCGGCGACUGGAUUUCGAGGGAACAUUUUCUCGGCUACACAUUCUACUUACUGUAUAGUGAAUUCUAAGAUUGGGUGAAGGAGUUAUGAGGCAUUGAAGACAGCACUUGUAAUUUGAAGGCAGUAAGUAUAUCGUUUUGUUGCUAGUUAUGGGUGAAGCCAUAUCUUGAGUUUCUGGACGAAUUUUUGGCUCAAAAUUUCCACAAGUGUAUGUAAUUGGAUUAAGAAGCUUUAGAUCAAAGUUUCAUAGUAUUUGAAUAAUUGCUUUGUGAGAUAUGAAGGAAGUUGUACACGGGUGUAAAAAAGCUAGGGUUUGAAGCUACAGUUAGGGUUUUCAAGAUAUCACAAGAUCCAAGACGAAUUUACGGUUGAAUUUUGGUGUGGUAGUUUCUAAAGAUAUAGCAGUACUCCAUGUAAAAUUUGGAGUUGUUUAGACGGUUAGAUCGUAAGUUAUGAGCUGUUGAACUUCGGGAAAAAUUCCUCAUAAGGAUAUAUAAGUUUUUUAUAACACCUUAUCAAGUAUUUUGGUGUUCUUUGGAUUUUAAGGCUUGUAUAUUGAUGUAAUUGCUCCAAAGGAGAGGA
rnacentral:lncRNA from 1 species